AUUGAACGCUGGCGGCAGGCCUAACACAUGCAAGUCGAGCGGAGCGGCGGACGGGUGAGUAAUGCCUAGGAAUCUGCCCGGUAGUGGGGGACAACGUCCGGAAACGGGCGCUAAUACCACAUACUAUCAGAUGAGCCUAGGUCGGAUUAGCUAGAGGGAGGGGUAAAGGCUUACAAAGGCGACGAUCCGUAACUGGUCUGAGAGGAUGAUCAGUCACACUGGAACUGAGACACGGUCCAGACUCCUACGGGAGGCAGCAGUGGGGAAUAUUGGACAAUGGGCGAAAGCCUGAUCCAGCCAUGCCGCGUGUGUGAAGAAGGUCUUCGGAUUGUAAAGCACUUUAAGUUGGGAGGCGUUACCAACAGAAUAAGCACCGGCUAACUUCGUGCCAGCCGCCGCGGUAAUAC
rnacentral:rRNA from 1 species